rfam:Capsella rubella cultivar Monte Gargano unplaced genomic scaffold scaffold_1, whole genome shotgun sequence.
GGGCGAUGAUUAUAAACUUACCCGCGCUUCUGAGAUGCUUCUUUAGGUCAAUGAAGCAUAUAAGGUAAAAUACAUGGUUGAAUUUCUUAAUAUGAGCCU